rnacentral:lncRNA from 1 species
AUGGCUCCAAAUCGCCUUUUUUAAGCGUUUUUAGCACAUAAGUAUGCACUAGAACCUAUUUAAGCAUAUGGGAUUGAAACCUACUGAUGUAUUCAUAGGAGGAUAACUUAAACUCAGAAUUUCUGUUUUGACCUUUUAGGCAUUUGUGAAAUUACCAAAACGCCCCUACGGUGUCUAGAAUGAUUAAGAUUGAUAAAUUUCACAUAAGGAUUAAUACCCUACUGUUAUAACUUAGUAAAUUAAGUUUAUUUACUGAUUUAAUCAGACCUGUAACUCAGGUUAUUAUUUAAACCCUUUUACACCCUUUAAAAUGACCAAAAUGCCCUUAUGAGGCAUAAAUUGGGUUUAAAACCAUUUGGGGCAUGAUGGAAGGUAUCAUUCCGAUAUCACAACAUGUUUAAGGCAUAUUAACUUAGGAAACUUGUAUAUGACUCUUAUGGUUACUCGUUACGCACUUUAUGCGUUCGGAUCGGCGUAGGUAACUAGUUUACCCAUUAUAGCCGAAACGGGUCAAACCAUAUCAUUUCGGUCUCAAAAUCCAGAAUGUGAUUAAGUUACCCAUAUUAAACAAGUAUGCAAGCUUGUUGGGUCAAAACCACAUUCUAAAAACGGUCUUCGCCUUAUCGUGCGUUUAAACCGUAAUCUUCAUUUAAGAACUAACCGGUCUAGGCUUAGGCCAAAUUAAAGACCCGUUAGAAAUCUAAUAGGUUAUUAAAAACCUUCGUUCCAGAUUUAGGAGCCCAGUAAAAGCUAUCUGUACUUGCUUGGUGGUAUACGGCUGGGAU